UUUGAGCCGAGGGGCUUUGCGGAAACACUAGAUCGGCGUCGAUCGGAACCGUGCAAGAAGCCCGCACCACGUGAAGGACUGACUGAAGCGUGAUGAAUACUGAGCUCAUUUGCAAUGAGCAGUCAGGCAGUAGUAAG
rnacentral:sRNA from 12 species